CCUCUCCAUCCUGCCGUCUCCUGACACCCCAUCCAAUCGUUCAGUCAUGAAGAUCUUCGCCUUCCUUACAGCUGUUCUCUUCUUCGUGCUGAUGGCUGCUCCAGCACUCGCCCGGCCAAAGACAUAUGGUGAAUGUUACCGUGCCCAUGGCAGCUGCCACCAUUCUUGCCCACACCAUACAAGGCAAAUUGGAGAGUGUGCACGUUAUGUACGUUGCUGCAAAUAAGGGAUAAUGCCACGGCUACUCACAGCGGAUUUCAGCGUUACUCCCAUGGCUUGAACCCUCAUAGACCCAGCUUAUUUCGCUCCACAAUCCCUUCUCCUGAUUUGCUGUGCUUUUGUGGUUUUAAAGGAGCUGAUUCUGUAUUGAGUUGUCCAUGUUAAUUAAAAAAGCAUGUAUUCCAGCA